GAUGAACGCUGGCGGCGUGCCUAAUACAUGCAAGUCGAGCGAACGGACGAGAAGCUUGCUUCUCUGAUGUUAGCGGCGGACGGGUGAGUAACACGUGGAUAACCUACCUAUAAGACUGGGAUAACUUCGGGAAACCGGAGCUAAUACCGGAUGAUAUUUUGAACCGCAUGGUUCAAAAGUGAAAGACGGUCUUGCUGUCACUUAUAGAUGGAUCCGCGCUGCAUUAGCUAGUUGGUAAGGUAACGGCUUACCAAGGCAACGAUGCAUAGCCGACCUGAGAGGGUGAUCGGCCACACUGGAACUGAGACACGGUCCAGACUCCUACGGGAGGCAGCAGUAGGGAAUCUUCCGCAAUAGGCGAAAGCCUGACGGAGCAACGCCGCGUGAGUGAUGAAGGUCUUCGGAUCGUAAAACUCUGUUAUUAGGGAAGAACAUAUGUGUAAGUAACUGUGCACACCUUGACGGUACCUAAUCAGAAAGCCACGGCUAACUACGUG
rnacentral:rRNA from 1 species